rnacentral:miRNA from 1 species
UGAGUUGGUUAUCAUUGUUG